AUGAACGCUGGCGGCGUGCCUAAUACAUGCAAGUCGAGCGAACAGACGAGGAGCUUGCUCCUCUGACGUUAGCGGCGGACGGGUGAGUAACACGUGGAUAACCUACCUAUAAGACUGGGAUAACUUCGGGAAACCGGAGCUAAUACCGGAUAAUAUAUUGAACCGCAUGGUUCAAUAGUGAAAGACGGUUUUGCUGUCACUUAUAGAUGGAUCCGCGCCGCAUUAGCUAGUUGGUAAGGUAACGGCUUACCAAGGCAACGAUGCGUAGCCGACCUGAGAGGGUGAUCGGCCACACUGGAACUGAGACACGGUCCAGACUCCUACGGGAGGCAGCAGUAGGGAAUCUUCCGCAAUGGGCGAAAGUCUGACGGAGCAACGCCGCGUGAGUGAUGAAGGUCUUCGGAUCGUAAAACUCUGUUAUUAGGGAAGAACAAAUGUGUAAGUAACUAUGCACGUCUUGACGGUACCUAAUCAGAAAGCCACGGCUAACUACGUG
rnacentral:rRNA from 1 species